CUCUGAAGCACCUCUCCAUCAAUAGGCCUCUCCGGAAUGGAUAGAUGUCACUAACCCCUCAUCAACACCAGAGGGAUUCAGCCAAGAUUCCACAGAGGCCAUGAUUCCCGAGUAAGAACCACAUUCUACAGCAAUGCCUGCUCUCAACUCAUCGUGACAAAGCUUAAAGACUCAGAGGGAGGAGAAAGGGAGGAGGUGGAGAAAUUAAUCUAAACACGUUUGGGAAUAUCUUGGGGUUUCCUCAGAUGAUUCUUCUUAACAAAGUAUAAAAGGAAGUCUUCACAAGUUCAAGAUGUUGUGUUAGUAAUUUAACUGCCUACAAAAACAAAAAUUCUACACUCUUCAGAGGAAGAUAACAAGAUAACAAAUUCCAAGGUCUUUAAAAUGUCAUUCACAAUGUACAGCAAAAAAAUAUAUAUAUAUAGAAA
rnacentral:lncRNA from 10 species